CGAUUUCCCUCUCAGCCGGCUCCUCCGAGCCCUAACCGCCGGCCACUCGGCGGUUUCCUCCUCCUUCCCCUCUUCUCUAUUUAUCCCUCGUUGAGUUUUUCCUUCUUCCCCGAGUGCACCAAGCUCUGCCGGCGUCGCUGCCCUUGUCAGCCGUGCCCUAGAUUUGGUUGUGCCGUCGCCGAGUUUGCUUCGCCGACCCUUCUCCUGUGCCCUAGCGUCGAGUAGCACUGCCGCCGGCGACGCACCGAGCACUGCCUCACCUCUGGUGCCCCAGCAUCGACCACCACAGCGACGGCAUACACUGCUGUACAACGCCGCCUACACCCUUGCUCUCGGCCUCCCUCUGCCCUAGCGCCGUGCCCUAGAUUUGGGACCAACUGAUUUCCGACGCCAGCCAAGGUGCAGCCGACAGGGACACCGAGCAGACCAUCCGUGCCAUUUCCUAUGUGCUCUAGUAUCAGUGGCCGAUCCAUAUUUGUCUUACAUUUUGAUCUCCGGUGAUCUUGUAGCAGCCAACAGCCCUUAGCGGCGCAAUUUCCGCUAUCAACUCUUUGAUUCCAGAUCAAACAGCGGCGGUGAAGUUAGGACUUUGACGUGAGACGAGCAUCUCGACGUCGUAUUCGGACCAGAUUGGAC